AUUUACCGGAGGACGUGUGUCUCACACGUCGAAUCUCAUCUGGCAUCAAAAGCUAAGCAGGGCUGGGCCUAGUUAGUACUUGAAUGGGAGCACUGACCAGAAAAUUUAGAACCUGUAAAUU
rnacentral:rRNA from 1 species